AUAUUUGAUCCUUUCGUACUAAAAUAUUUUUUGUAUUUAAGAUAGAAACCAACCUGGCUCACACCGGUUUAAACUCAGAUCAUGUAAAAUUUUAAAGGUCGAACAGACCUAAUAUUUUAGCUUCUACACCAAAAAUAAAUUUUAAUCCAACAUCGAGGUCGCAAACCUUUUUUUCAAUAAGAACUAUUAAAAAGAUUACGCUGUUAUCCCUAAGGUAAUUUAAUCUUAUAAUCAUUUUUUUGGAUCAAUAAUUCAAUUAUUAUUGUAAUUAUAAAAAAAAAGUUAAUUUAAUUUUUCUGUCACCCCAACAAAACUUAAAUUAAAUUAAAAAAUAAAAUUUCUAAAAUUUUUAACAUAAUUUUUAGUUAAACUCUAUAGGGUCUUCUCGUCUUUAAAUUUAAUUUAAGCUUUUUAACUUAAAAAUAAAAUUCUAUUAAUAAAAUUGAAACAGUAAUUUUCUCAUCAAACCAUUCAUACAAGCUUUCAAUUAAAAAACUAAUGAUUAUGCUACCUUUGCACAGUCAAAAUACUGCGGCCCUUCAAAUCUC
rnacentral:rRNA from 1 species